UAGCCGGGUCCUAAGGCGAGGCCGAAAGGCGUAGUCGAUGGACAGUAGGUUAAUAUUCCUACGCACAUAUAAAGAUCAAAGCAUAAUGCGGAUUUCCAAGCUCUUCUGGACUGUUAGACGUCCAGGCCUUCGGGCCGUUGAAGGGGGAGGGAGUUCCUAGAAAAGUUAUGUGGGCGAUAUAUGUCCCGUACUAAAACUGACACAGGUAGACGAGGCGAAUAGCCUCAGGCGCUCGAGAGAAUGGUCGUGAAGGAAUUAGGCAAAAUCACUCCGUAAGUUCGCGAGAAGGAGGCCCUUCGGGGCGCAGAGAAAAGGCCCUGGCAACUGUUUAUCAAAAACACAGCACUGUGCUAACUCGCAAGAGGAUGUAUACAGUGUGACGCUUGCCCAAUGCCCGAAUGUCACGGAAGUGGGUUAUCUUCGGAGAAGCUCACGACUUAAGCACGGGUCAAUGGCGGCCGUAACUAUGACGGUCCUAAGGUAGCGAAGUUCCUUGUCGGGUAAGUUCCGACGCGCACGAAUGGCGUAACGACUGCCCCAUUGUCUCAACAGAGGGCUCGGUGAAAUUGUAGUCGAGGUGAAGAUGCCUCGUAGCCGCACCAGGACGGAAAGACCCCGUGAACCUUUACUGCAGCCUGAUAUUGGGCUCUGGUACAGCAUGUGUAGAAUAGGUGGGAGGCUUUGAAGCGGGCACGCUAGUGUUCGUGGAGCCACAAUGUGAAAUACCACCCUUGCUGUACUAGUGUUCUAACUUGGUACCCUGAAUCGGGGCCAAGGACAGUUUCAGGUGGGCAGUUUGGCUGGGGCGGUCUCCUCCUAAAGAGUAACGGAGGAGUCCGAAGGCACCCUCAGGCUGGUUAGCAAUCAGCCGUAGAGCAUAAGGGUAUAAGGGUGCUUAACUGUGAGACACAUAAGUCGAGCAGGUGUGAAAGCAGGGCCUAGUGAUCCGGCGAAUUCCGAGUGGAAGGGUCGUCGCUUAACAGACAAAAGGUACUCCGGGGAUAACAGGCUGAUCUCCCCCAAGAGUCCAUAUCGACGGGGAGGUUUGGCACCUCGAUGUCGGCUCAUCACAUCCUGGGGCUGAAGCAGGUCCCAAGGGUUUGGCUGUUCGCCAWUUAAAGUGGUACGCGAGCUGGGUUUAGAACGUCGUGAGACAGUUCGGUCCCUAUCUGCCGUGGGCGUUKGAKRUUUGAGAAGRGCUGCUCCUAGUACGAGAGGACCGGAGUGGACGAACCUCUGGUGUUCCGGUUGUCACGCCCGUGGCAUUGCCGGGUAGCUACGUUCGGACAGGAUAACCGCUGAAAGCAUCUAAGCGGGAAGCCCCCUUCAAGAUGAGAUCUCACUGACUCCUUGAGAGUCCUGUAGGGCCCUUGAAGACUACAAGGUUGAUAGGUCAGGUGUGUAAGCGUUGUGAGGCGUUGAGCUAACUGAUACUAAUUGCCCGUGAGGCUUGACCAUAUAACACCCAA
rnacentral:rRNA from 1 species